GACGAACGCUGGCGGCGUGCCUAACACAUGCAAGUCGAACGGAAAGGCCUCUUUCGGGGGGUACUCUAGUGGCGAACGGGUGAGUAACACGUGAGUAACCUGCCCUUGACUUUGGGAUAACUUCAGGAAACUGGGGCUAAUACCGGAUAGGAGCUCCUGCUGCAUGGUGGGGGUUGGAAAGUUUCGGCGGUUGGGGAUGGACUCGCGGCUUAUCAGCUUGUUGGUGGGGUAGUGGCUUACCAAGGCUUUGACGGGUAGCCGGCCUGAGAGGGUGACCGGCCACAUUGGGACUGAGAUACGGCCCAGACUCCUACGGGAGGCAGCAGUGGGGAAUAUUGCACAAUGGGUGGAAGCCUGAUGCAGCAACGCCGUGUGCGGGAUGACGGCCUUCGGGUUGUAAACCGCUUUCGCUCAUGACGAAGCUUUGUGUGACGGUAGUGGGUAAAGAAGCACCGGCUAACUACGUG
rnacentral:rRNA from 1 species